rnacentral:lncRNA from 1 species
UCACUGACUUCAAGAAUGAAGCCGUGGACCCUCACGGUGAGUGUUACAGCCCUUAAAGGCAGUGUGGACCCAAAGAGUGAGCAGUAGCAAGAUUUAUUGCAAAGAGCGAAAGAACAAACCUUCCACAGACUGGAAAGGGACCCAAGCGGGUUGCCACUGCUAGCUCAGGCAGCCUGCUUUUAUUCUCUUAUCUGGCCCCACCCACAUCCUGCUGAUUGGUAGAGCCCAGUGGUCUGUUUCGACAGGGCGCUGAUUGGUGCGUUUACAAUCCCUGAGCUAGACAUAAAGGUUCUCCACAUCCCCACCAGACUCAGGAACCCAGCUGGCUUCACCCAGUGGAUCCAGCACCGGGGUUGCAGGUGGAGCUGCCUGCCAGUCCCGGUGCCGUGCGCCCCCCACUCCUCAGCCCUUGGGCGGUCGAUGGGACUGGGCACCUUGGAGCAGGGGGUGGCGCUCAUCGGGGAGGCUCGGGCCGCACAGGAGCCCAUGGAGGGAGUGGGAGGCUCAGGCAUGGCGGGCUGCAGGUCCCGAGCCCUGCCCCGCGGGAAGGCAGUUAAGGCCCGGUGAGAAAUCGAGCGCAGCGCCGGUGGGCUGGCACUGCUGGGGGACCCAGUACACCCUCCGCAGCCGCUGGCCCGGGUGCUAAGCCCCUCAUUGCCCGGGGCUGGCAGGGCCGGCCGGCUGCUCCGAGUGCGGGGCCGGCCAAGCCCACCCCCACCCGGAACUCCAGCUGGCCCGCAAGCGCCGCGCGCAGCCCGGGUUCCCGCUCGCGCCUCUCCCUCCACACCUCCUUGCAAGCUGAGGGAACCGGCUCUGGCCUUGGCCAGCCCAGAAAGGGGCUCCCACAGUGCAGCGGUGGGCUGAAGGGCUCCUCAAGUGCCGCCAAAGUGGGAGCCCAGGCAGAGGAGGCGCAGAGAGCGAGCGAGGGCUGUGAGGACUGCCAGCAUGCUGUUACCUCUCAAUAAGGAAUUCAAGGUCUCCUUGGGAGUCUCAUGUCCUUGCCAAGCCUUCGCCAGGCUCUCGCCACUGCCGUUCCUCUACCAGCCCAAGUCUACAUUCUGAGGCUCUAGGAACACGAGAGAGAACUCCAGUGCUCACAUCCCAUAUUGACCCUCUUUAUGUUCUUCAAUUACCACCUAC